rnacentral:rRNA from 1 species
GAUGAACGCUGGCGGCGUGCCUAAUACAUGCAAGUCGAGCGAACAGACGAGGAGCUUGCUCCUCUGACGUUAGCGGCGGACGGGUGAGUAACACGUGGAUAACCUACCUAUAAGACUGGGAUAACUUCGGGAAACCGGAGCUAAUACCGGAUAAUAUAUUGAACCGCAUGGUUCAAUAGUGAAAGACGGUUUUGCUGUCACUUAUAGAUGGAUCCGCGCCGCAUUAGCUAGUUGGUAAGGUAACGGCUUACCAAGGCAACGAUGCGUAGCCGACCUGAGAGGGUGAUCGGCCACACUGGAACUGAGACACGGUCCAGACUCCUACGGGAGGCAGCAGUAGGGAAUCUUCCGCAAUGGGCGAAAGCUUGACGGAGCAACGGCGCGUGAGUGAUGAAGGUCUUCGGAUCGUAAAACUCUGUUAUUAGGGAAGAACAAAUGUGUAAGUAACUAUGCACGUCUUGACGGUACCUAAUCAGAAAGCCACGGCUAACUACGU